AUCCUUUUGUGAUUCGUAAGCGUGAUGAUUGGGUUUUCGCACUAUUGUGUGAGGUGUGCCUCCCUCUAACCUUGUUACAGUGUUGGCACAUUGCUGUCUGAAG
rfam:Pan troglodytes isolate Yerkes chimp pedigree #C0471 (Clint) chromosome 1, whole genome shotgun sequence.